UACGUAGGGGGCAAGCGUUGUCCGGAAUCAUUGGGCGUAAAGAGCGCGUAGGCGGCCCUGUAAGUCCGCUGUGAAAGUCAAGGGCUCAACCCUUGAAUGCCGGUGGAUACUGCAGGGCUAGAGUCCGGAAGAGGCGAGUGGAAUUCCUGGUGUAGCGGUGAGAUGCGCAGAUAUCAGGAGGAACACCGAUGGCGAAGGCAGCUCGCUGGGACGGUACUGACGCUGAGGCGCGAAAGCGUGGGGAGCAAACAGG
rnacentral:rRNA from 1 species